GCCUGAGUGGCUCAGCGGUUGAGCACCUGCCUUUGGCCCAGGGCGUGACCCCGGGGUCCCGGGUUCGAGUCCCGCGUUGGGCU
rnacentral:tRNA from 1 species